UAAUUACACAAUACAAACAAUGAGUGCAGGAUGUAAUUACACAAUAAGAACAAUGUGUGCAGACUGUAAUUACACAAUAAGAACAAUGUGUGCAGGCUGUAAUUACACAAUCUAAACAAGGUGCACAGACAAUAAUUACACAAUGAGAACAAGGCACUUAUAUGAAGUGUCAACCAUUUGCCACCAAACAUCUGCUUUGUUUCCCAGAGCUGCAGCCCAUAUGUACAAGUAUUGGCAACAAUAACCAUUAACGUGAUCAGUAGGAUCCAAGUAUUUCAUCGGUAUCUCAUCUCGACUGAGCCGCAGCGCUCAGCAGCAGUCCUAAAAAAUAUUAGUUUGUUUCUUUAUUCUCCUCUUUCUUUUUUGUCUGUCAUCAUUAAUAAUUCAUCUCUUUUCUUGGAUGCUAAAACAACAACAAACAGAACAACAGCUCAGAUAAUGUAUUCAGUCAAAAGCUCAUUGUGUAGGGGAGGAGGAAAGGGGACAGCGAAAAUGUGCACUGGAGUGAGACAAGAGAGCACCCCGACAGGGAGAGGCUCAAUGUCACUCCGCGGCGUCGCGGGAUGGAAGAAAAACAAACGCCAGAGGGGGAAAAAAAAAAGAGAAAGAGGAAGAUACAGUUUGUAAGUCAUAAAAGCCCAAUUAGAGGCAUUAGGGUCCUCAAAUGGAGGAUUACAAUGAAUCAUUUUCGGCUGCAUUUUUUUGGGGGGGGGGGCAGAUUGUGCCAUUAAUGUGGGUGACAAAAAAAAGAUUUAUUUUAGAGACGGGGUAGUAUGAAAAGCUCUUAAUGCUGGAAAGAGAACUAAACAGUAAUUCAAGGUUACAUGAAUAUGGUGCCGAAUCGGCACCCCGGGCCUCCAUUGACUCAGCUGCCUUACUUUAAAUCUCUUCACUCCCCCCCCGUCACCCCUUCAUUUGGAGUGGCUCGACCUUGGAUGUCUACGGUGUGAACCGGUGCCCCAGCUUUCACAUUACGCCAGAAAGGAUCCUGACUCAUUCAAUUUAAGCCCAUCAGGAAAGCACAAUACAAGGCAAAUUAGCUGCCAUUAUUUAGACACUUUCAUGACCCCAAUUUGAGGUCACAUGACAAUUAGUCACAUUUGUCGGCGCCGUCUUCAUGGUCGUCCCCAAUCUCUGCAACAUACGUGAGCCUCAUCAAGAGGAUUUUGAUAUUUAUGUAUUUAACCAGAUUAUUUAAUACUCAUUGUGGCACAUAAAGUCUGCUGCGUUUUCAGCCUUUUUCUUUAUUGAAAAAGAACAUACGGAACAAUUGAAUCAUUAUCUUCCAAGCGGCUCUGAAAAUCUAUUUUUCUAUUUCAUCUGCCGCAGCAUUCGAUUUCUGAGGAUUCAAACAAGGGCUCCGCCUAAAGGUUCAGCCAAGUCACAGUUUAAAUUAAAAGAGCUCUUUGCUAGACUAGCGUUGCACUCCUGUUUGUUCACGACUGAUGGUUUUGGAUAAAAUAUCGACGAUGAGCAGCCAGUUAUUAUGUCUUUGUUCUUCCACACUUCCUUCCUGUUUGUUGCAACCCGGUGCUCGCGUUACCCACAAUGCCACAGGACCGUUCCGCGCUUAGCCGGAGAUUUGGCUGCGUUUUGCAAGCUAGCAUAGCGUAGCCUCGCCCCGUUAGCCUCCGGCCCGGAAGACAGAGGUUUGAUGAGCUCACAAAUCAUACUUUAAGAAAGCGAGACUACACAAAAAUAUGCCAUGAACCCUGCAGGUUAACGCAACUGAUUCUCUCCCUGGGAUUUACUCUGUGGUUUAUACUUAUAUAUAAGUAUAUACUUAUAGCUUCAGAUGGAAGUACAAAAUAAAAGCUCAUCCGUAGUUUAUUAUUUUCUUCAUUAAAACAAGAGAGAGAAGCUUUAAUUCCAGAGAGAGAAGAUAAAAUACUGAACCUGGAAGCUGAAAAACCUGAACUUGGUCCUCCGUCCGUCGUCCUCGUCCUCUUCCUUCCAAAGAGAAGAACCCGGUCAAGACGGCGCUAUUAACAGCUGUUCGCGCCACCUUGCCGGUCUGGCUCUUUAUUGAGCCUGAAGGUAGCUGUAACCCGGCGCCCGUCACACUUUGUGGUAAACAAACAAAUGAACCCUGAGCACAGCAGGAAUCUGCUGCUUGUUUGUUUUGUUGUUGUUGCGUGUGGCGAAUCGCAAUCGUGCAGACGGGAUACGCGGACGGUAACGCCACUCUGUCCGCGCCAAGAAGCCGCAAACAGAAGGUUUACAAAGUGGCCCCGGGCCGGAGGUGAUUGGGCACAGGUGAACUCUCAAUGCAUAAGCUGUGUUGGUGAGAGGAAGCCUCAACCAUAACCGUUGGUCCUUCUUGUCUUCAUCUACCUUUGUACUCGAGAAAAUACACAAUGAAAUCAGGUACAAAAGGAAAUAAGUGCUUGCUGGUAGCCACCAAAAAGGAAAAUCUUCAUCAUGAGCUCUUUUUGUCAGUGAAAAGAGAUGUUUCCCAACCUAUCGAGUAAUACAUUUUAUAAUCAUAUAUUUGAGCAUAUUUAAUAAUAACACCUGAACGUGUGUGUGUUUGAGAAGCACUCGUACGACGUGGCUGCUUUUUCUCGUCCUCACAAUCUAUUUUCAAGGCAAUAACCAAAGUUGCUUGUUGAAGAAAGUAUUUCAAAUAUACUUUUAAUUGUAUGUUUUUUGGAUAUUGCAGAGGGGGAAAAAAAGCGCCACAUACCUGGCUCCAUCCAUCUAAUAUGAAUUCAUAGUGUGAUACCUGGAGUUUAUUAAUUCAGGGCCACAGAGACAGCUGAAUAAUGAAAUUUAAUGAAAAUUUUAGAUGGACUAAAAGUCAGACUGCUUCGGUCAUUAAUUUUAAAAGCACACAUACCGUCAGUCGCACGGUAAUGAUAAAUUCCUACAUUGGGCUUCAUGCCAUGAAGUUUAGUAACUAUACUGCCUAGAAAGGACUCCAGUGGAAUCCAAGGUCCCAGGAUAUGAAAUAGAUUUCCAGAAAAUUAGCACAAUUUGAAAAUAGUUUACUUUAAAGUUGAAGUAGGGACUGAAGGAAAAGGUUUUUUUUGUUUGGGGAAAUAACAGAUUAUUAAAAACAAAUCAAGGACCUCUAUAACUUUAUUAAAACAUUUCAAAUGACACUUUGUUUUUCUUUAAAAGGGCAAAAGGAGUAUGCAUCCCCUUCCAAAGUAAUAUCUCAUUAUGCUGCGUUGGACAGGUUGUCCUUCAUAACAGUUUGCAGGAAGAAUUUAACAUGUGUAACCUAUAAAAAUAUGUAUGAUUGAUAAGAAUAUAAUGUUUUUCUGCGGUCUGUUGAUUCUUUUAGCACAUGUGGCCAUUGUAGGUAAAAAAUAAUGUCUUAUAUUACGAGAAAAAGUAUAAAUUCCUAAUUCUACAUUUUUGCCAUUUAAAGUACAAUAUAUUGUUUCCCAGCUGUCUGGUUAUUAUUUUCUUUUUUAAAGUUGACAUUCGGACGAUAUGUAUAUAUGAUAUAAAAAUAGUGUGGACAUACAGUACCUAUUCCUUUUUUCUAACCCCAUAUCAUUUUUGUACUGUCCCUUAUGUGGACUUACUAAUUGGUGAUGUAUUCUUGCAUGUUACUUUUUGAAUUGUUACUAUUAAAUAAAUCCUAUUUUCAGAUGAACUGACAUGUAUCCAAAGUUGAACUGGCUGAUUGCGUACAAGCAGAGUCUGAUGGCACCACUACGGAGGACAAACUGGCCCACGCAUUACGUUCCUCUGAAGACAAAAG
ensembl:lncRNA